CAGUGGGCGCUACUCGCUAUUGAAGCUUCGAGUCGCGUUAUCGUACGUCUUCCUCUACUUUUACGUGCUCGCUCUGGUUCUGCGUGUCAACAAGAACGAUCACAAGGGUGUCAUCAUCAUGCCCUCGGCUUCAAAGUUGCGAUAUAGUGGAGCCAGCUCGUCCAAAUUAGUCUUGCGUGGUCAGACUUCAGACUGACGGCAGAAGGUCUGGGAACUUUGGACAAGGACCACCCAAGAGGCCAUAUGAAUGACAGACUAGAUGGACACGCAGGUUGCCAGAUUGACGACACCAACAGGAACGAGCACACCUGACGAUGGAAAGAGCCUCGAGCCUUACACUGCAUUAGGAGGACGCUGUUGGCUUCUCACCCGGUUUAGCAGGUCGAUCUCCUCCUUCAGCUUAACGAUCAGCUCGUCCUUGUCCUGG